UUCAAAAUCCGCCGAGGUCGACUUUGCCUUUCAUCCUAUCGGGGUCGAUAAUUUAAGUACCAGUUGCGUACUGGGGUCGAUCUAAUCGACUAUCUCCUACCCCCAAAAUUUUGGGCCUUGAUCCUAGAGUAGGAAAGAAUAAGUAAUUGGAA